rnacentral:rRNA from 1 species
AGCGAACGCUGGCGGCAGGCCUAACACAUGCAAGUCGAACGAACCUUUCGGGGUUAGUGGCGGACGGGUGAGUAACACGUGGGAACGUGCCUUUAGGUUCGGAAUAACUCAGGGAAACUUGUGCUAAUACCGAAUGUGCCCUUCGGGGGAAAGAUUUAUCGCCUUUAGAGCGGCCCGCGUCUGUUUAGCUAGUUGGUUGAGGUAAUGGCUCACCAAGGCGACGAUCAGUAGCUGGUCUGAGAGGAUGAUCAGCCACAUUGGGACUGAGACACGGCCCAAACUACUACGGGAGGCAGCAGUGGGGAAUCUUGCGCAAUGGGCGAAAGCCUGACGCAGCCAUGCCGCGUGAAUGAUGAAGGUCUUAGGAUUGUAAAAUUCUUUCACCGGGGACGAUAAUGACGGUACCCGGAGAAGAAGCCCCGGCUAACUUCGUG